GAAGUGUAAUGAAAACAAAAGUUUCCUUGUUCCCAAAUAUACAUCUCUCAAUAGUAGAAUUGCAAGAAAAAUUGUACUGUGUAACAGGGUCUUUACUCUAACUUCUAGACGAAAACAUUUGCUCAGAACGUCGAGUAUUUGGUUUGUAUUUUCUCUAAUCAAUAUUGUAUGCGACCGUUCAUAUUUAUUGAAGAGAUAGAGGUCAACUGGUUUUACCAGAAUGGUUAACUUAUAUUAAAUAUAUUUUUCUUACGGUAUAUGAUAGUCUGAAUCAGAAUGAAAUAUUGUCUUGACUGUUGUGGUUCAGAAGAAUGAAAAAGAAAUUAAAAAACACCAAAAUAUUUUUCGAAGCGUAGGAUGCACUAAAAUCCUGAUGCAUUUAAAGUUGUCAAAUACGAACAUUUCUUACGUCCUGCUAACGUUUUCUUGGCAUUUCGAACACAAACAAUUUAGCAUCCCUCAAAAUUAUAUUUGCAUUGCAAGUUGCAAGGAAAGUUGCAACACUGCCUCGUUCGUUGUGGAUUCCAACGAGGCAGUAUUUUACAAUGGAAUAAAAUUUUUCAGUCGAUUUACUUUUCAAUUGUCAAGAGGACCCUGCUUCGGUUGACUUAUCGCAAUUAAAAAGGGAAUUGAGCGAAAAUUCGAAGAUGACAGCUAUUAGCUUCGGACGAUCUCGAAUAUUUGGAUUAUCAGAUACUUUUUCACUGUUGGCAGAGAAACAGAACAGCCAAUUUGAGGACACAAAUGAAGAAUAAUUAUGAUCUGAAUAAAUUAAUAAAAUAUAAAUUACGCAUACCUGUAUAUAAUUUCACCUUGUUCUGAAUGAAUUAGAACAUCGAACAACCAAUCAGUGGCCACCUGCAAUCUGCAUAACUGCAUUCUUUGUAUAUAUCGUGUGAAAAAUUCGUUGAUGUUCACACAUAUAUAUUUUGGAAUAUUUGUGUAUCGCGAAUUCGAAUUUAUCUUGUUAUGUUUACGAGUGAUCUGAUGCUCUAAUUUCUAUCCUAAAAGCACAUACAGGCCAAUAUUUACGAGGAUAAUAAUAUAGAAAGUUUUUUUCUAAAGGUUAAAAGAAAUGUAUUUCUUGAAGUUGUUAGUGAUGUUCAGUAUGGUUUGCUUGUGUAAUGCUGCUCUAAAGUGUUACACCUGCAAUGGAUUGGAACUAGAGACGUGUAU